rnacentral:rRNA from 1 species
ACCCGCACAAGCGGUGGAUGAUGUGGUUUAAUCGUAUGCAACGCGAAAACCUUACCACCUUUGACAUGUACGGAAUUCUUCAGAGAUGAAGGAGUGCUCGAAAGAGAACCGUAACACAGGUGCUGCAUGGCUGUCGUCAGCUCGUGUCGUGAGAUGUUGGGUUAAGCCCGCAACGAGCGCAACCCUUGUCAUUAGUUGCUACAUUCAGUUGGGCACUCUAAUGAGACUGCCGGUGACAAACCGGAGGAAGGUGGGGAUGACGUCAAGUCCUCAUGGCCCUUAUAGGUGGGGCUACACACGUCAUACAAUGGAUGGUACAAAGGGUCGCCAACCCGCGAGGGGGAGCCAAUCCCAUAAAGCCAUUCGUAGUCCGGAUCGCAGUCUGCAACUCGACUGCGUGAAGUCGGAAUCGCUAGUAAUCGUGGAUCAGAAUGUCACGGUGAAUACGUUCCCGGGUCUU